GACGAACGCUGGCGGCAUGCCUAAUACAUGCAAGUCGAGCGAACAGAUGAAGUGCUUGCACUUCUGACGUUAGCGGCGAACGGGUGAGUAACACGUAAGGAAUCUACCUAUAAGCGGGGGAUAACAUUCGGAAACGGGUGCUAAUACCGCAUAAUAUCUUCUCCCGCAUGGAAGAAGAUUGAAAGACGGCUCUGCUGUCACUUAUAGAUGACCUUGCGGUGCAUUAGUUAGUUGGUGGGGUAAUGGCCUACCAAGACGAUGAUGCAUAGCCGACAUGAGAAGGUGGUCGGCCACAUUGGGACUGAGACACGGCCCAAACUCCUACGUGAGGAAGCAGUAGGGAAUCUUCCGCAAUGGGCGAAAGCCUGACGGAGCAAUGCCGCGUGAGUGAAGAAGGCCUUCGGGUCGUAAAACUCUGUUAUAAGAGAAGAACAAAUUGUAGAGUAACUGCUACAGUCUUGACGGUAUCUUAUCAGAAAGCCACGGCUAACUACGUGCCAGCCGCCGCCGUAA
rnacentral:rRNA from 1 species